UGAUGUCAAGACGUAAGAGCCUUAAUGAUAAAGACAGCCAUCAAAUAACUGAUUGCGAAACACAUGGUGGAUUUUGUAUACCUUUCUAUCAAAAUAGUCCAACCUGCGCAGACUAUGGCGCAUUGCCCUACGCAUAUUCGUGUCUUUUAGGAGCAAACUGUUGCCGCUAAGACUGAAACUAAGAUGUGGGACAGGUACACUAAACUUUGUGUUGUGAGUUGGUUUUCAAGUUGAAAGUAGUUACAGAACAAUCGACGAAUGUCAUAUAUACAUAUAUAUAUAUGCACUAUUUAUGGUGUUCUGAAAUUGUAGAAAUAGAUUGGCUGGAACUUUAAUAAAAAUAACGGGUGCGACUAUAAAUGUAU